GCGGGCAUCGUAUAAUGGCUAUUACCUCAGCCUUCCAAGCUGAUGAUGCGGGGUUCGAUUCCCGCUGUCGCUCCA
rnacentral:tRNA from 1 species